UGGAGAUGCUUCAACUUAUGG
rnacentral:siRNA from 1 species